rnacentral:rRNA from 1 species
GACGAACCGUCCAAACGUUAUUCGGAAUCACUGGGCUUAAAGGGUGCGUAGGCGGCUCAGAAAGUAGGGUGUGAAAGCCCUCGGCUCAACCGAGGAAUUGCGCCCUAAACUACUGGACUCGAGGGAGACAGAGGUAAGCGGAACUUACGGUGGAGCGGUGAAAUGCGUUGAUAUCGUAAGGAACACCAGGAGCGAAAGCGGCUUACUGGGUCUCUUCGUGACGCUGAGGCACGAAAGCUAGGGGAGCGAACGGG